UGUAUUUGCUCCAAAGCCUUGCCCGCCACAAGAAAGAUUUGCAGUAGCACUACUAGUGCAGUCUGAAAACGUUGCAAUUACAAGAAAAUUAUAGAAUUUCACCGUGAGACAUCGAUCUAUCCACUUCAAUGGCAUUCGUCAUUCCAUUAUAAUUUACAGGGAAACUUUCAGAUUCGAGAAUAACUUUGGCUUCUUCAGCUGUAAAGGAGUAUCGAACUCUAAAGAACGCUAAAGAACUUUCGAAAUUCACUGGCGCACGAUAAUCAAUGAGAACCGAUCGAUCGAGCAUAAUUCUUUGCGUAAAAUCGGCUUUCGCUCUUUAGCACACUUGGGGAAAAAUUGAUUCCACUAAAAUGACUUGAAGGAAUUUCAAUCAUUCUUAACUGGGCUCGCCGAAUUUCAGGUAUCCCUUUUCAAGUCCAUCGGACAGAGAAAGAUAAAAAUCACAGAAAUAUGAGGCAAAGGAAGAAGUUAGAUAAUAUAAAAUAUAUAAUAAAGAAGAAAGAAUGAAUUCCAACUGACCGCGCAU